UCCAUGGAAAAAGCUUAAUGGAUACCAACAACCUUAAUUAGAAAAAUCAAAUCACAGGAAACCUCUAUCUGGGCACCACCGACUUAUCUGAUUAUCUAAAAGACUGGCAGUUUUUUCUUUCCCAGUCAGAGCCCUGGUCUUUUGAAAUUCCUAUUAUUUGUUGCCUUUCUUCUAUGAAAUGUCUCACCCACCUGGUUGACUUUUGGUGUAGUACUCAAAUUUUUAAAAGCCAUGAAAUUCAAAAUAUGCUCCCUUUCUGAUAUUGUAGCACGCAAGCAAAUGUAAACUAUUUGAAGCAGCUGAAUGUAAACUAUUUGAAGCAGUGAAUGCUUCGUGUAUGUAUGUAUUUGUAUGUGUGGAGGCAGUGAAGGGUAGGGAGUACUGGAGUUCAUAACUUGUAAGCGAAGUGUUAUGCCUCUCAGAAUGGACUUCUAGACCACACAGUCACGCUUUUGCUAUGGAUGGGUGUGUCUUACUCAGUUCUCACUUUGCAGAGUUGCAAAGUUCAGCUUGGACAGCUGGUGGAACAAAGAAGACCAUACUGAGGACUCCGUGGAGAGACUAUGAAUGUUCUCUCCUGUGUCUGCAUUCAGCAUAGUCUGUCAGAUAGUAAUGCAAAUAAGAUGAAUAUUAAAGCUGCUCUUCGUGAAAAGAACUUAGUGGAACUUCCUAUACCUUUGGAUGAUGUUUGAAAGAGAAAGUUCCAAAGUAGCUUUGAAGGAAUUCAGAGGAAGACAGACUACCAGGCUCUCCCAGGGAGUUCACUUGCAGAAUCAAAUGAAAACCAAUCCCUUUUAUGCAAACCUUCCUGAAGCAGCAGGGCUAUGUUUGGUCCCGAGAGCGGAGGUUCGUGCAGUGGAAGCCCUGGUGGUGAUUUCUCUCUACCCAGGCCUCGCCAAGGUCCUCCCCACCACGCAGUGAUGAAAGGAAGGAUCAAACAGCCCUCUCAAAGCCAAGCUCCAUCAGACCUGCCUUUGCUAAAUAUAGUGCACUUCAAUAAACACCAUUGUGAAUUUGCAGUUUGCUUGCUGGAAAAUACACCACCACCUCCAUCAAAAUUUUAUGCAUGCAUGUAUGUAUUCAGAUCUUUCUCGACUCUCUUUUAUCAACUAAAAUACUCAGCAAAUUUUCUUUUCGUUUUCAAUUUGAUAUUCAAUGUUUCUGCUCAGCACAAAUUAAUUGGAGGAAGCACUGAGUCAGGGAAAGCUGAAUGAAUAAAGUUUA